rnacentral:rRNA from 1 species
UACGAAGGGGGCUAGCGUUGUUCGGAAUUACUGGGCGUAAAGCGCACGUAGGCGGAUAUGUAAGUCAGGGGUGAAAUCCCGGGGCUCAACCUCGGAACUGCCUUUGAUACUGCAAGUCUUGAGUCCGGAAGAGGUGAGUGGAAUUCCUAGUGUAGAGGUGAAAUUCGUAGAUAUUAGGAAGAACACCAGUGGCGAAGGCGGCUCACUGGUCCGGUACUGACGCUGAGGUGCGAAAGCGUGGGGAGCAAAC